CGGGAGCGGCAGAGCUUCCAGUACAGGAUCUCGGUGCUUUACCUGUACUACCUGGGGCUGCUGCGCCGCUUCAACCUGGCCUACGACCAGAUGGUGCAGCCACAGAAGCGUAGGUUGCUGCGGCGCCUUCUGGACGGUGUGGCAGGACGCGUGCUGGAGCUUAAGGACGAGCUGGUGCGCGUCGACUUGUGUGAGACCCACUGCCUGGACCGAGUGUUGCAGGAACUCAAGCUAACCCCGGCAGACUUGGAGGUUCCCAUCCCCAAGUAUUUUCAGCUGGAGCAGACCAGCACCAUGAAGGCCCGUCAGCAGAUGCUGGCCGAGAUCCUGGCCAGACUGGAGCCACUGGCUUCUCAAGAGAAUCUUCGAGGAAUGAGCCGGACUGAGGCCCUGAUUAUAGUGCAAUGUGCCGAGAGGGCUAGGCAGGGCCGACUACGAGCCACCUUCAUGCGAGAGAUUAGGAAAGAGGAGGAACGGGACCGGAGGAUUCGAGAGAAUGGGCGACAGAAAUUCAGUCAGGACCAGGGAGCCAUUGUCAUACAGAAGGUGUGGAAAGGUUACCUACAGAGAAAACGUAUUGAGCAAGAUCGACGCAUGGAGAUGGAGUUCAUUGGCAUG
rnacentral:lncRNA from 1 species